rnacentral:rRNA from 1 species
GAUGAACGCUGGCGGCGUGCCUAAUACAUGCAAGUCGAGCGAACAGACGAGGAGCUUGCUCCUCUGCCGUUAGCGUCGGACGGGUGAGUAACACGUGGAUAACCUACCUCUAUGACUUGGAUAACUUCGUGAAACCGGAGCUACUACCGGCUAAUAUAUUUAACCGCAUGGUUCAAUAGUUAACGACGGUUUUGCUUUCACUUUUAGCUGGAUUCGCGCCGGCUUAGCUAGUUGGUAAGGUACCGGCUUACCAAGGCAACGAUGCGUAGCCGACCUGAGAGGAUGAUCGGCCACACUGGAACUGAGACACGGUCCAGACUCCUACGGGAGGCAGCAGUAGGGAAUAUUCGGCAAUGGGCGAAAGCCUGACGGAGCAAUGCCGCGUGAGUGAUGAAGGUCUUCGGAUCGUAAAACUCUGUUAUUAGGGAAGAAAAAAUGUGGAAGUAAACAUGGAUGUUUUGACGGUACCUAAACAGAAAGCAACGGCUAACUACGUG